UGGACUCUGAGGAGAAACACAAGCAAGGGAAACAGGACUCUGUGUGGAGAUGAGUUUGGAAGAUUAGACGGUAUUUUAUGCAUCAUCAACCACAUCGUCCCUUUGGACAGUGGAGUUUACUGGUGUGAGUCCAGAGAGGGUCCCAUCAGUAACAUGGUUAACCUGACAGUCACUGACCAUAAAUUCAUCACAGCUGAGUCUGGACAGGACGUCACUCUGACAUGUCGAGCUCCAAACAACAAGAUCAAAUUUUUAAAGUGGACAAAAGCUUACCUGCAGUCAGAAGUUGUCAUUUUGCACUGGGAUGGUCACUUUGAUCCAUUUUAUCAGCAUCCAUCUUUUAAGAACCGGGUGGAUCUGCAGGACAGACAGAAUGUGACGAUUAAUGACAUACGAGUGUUGAGCUGAUGUGAGAGAAACACGCUUAUGGGAUCUCAGCAGCAUCUACCUGAGUGUUGUUGAUCCUCCAGAGAAACACACCACCACACCUCCACCUACAUUGAGCAGCUCACCUCCACCUACAUCCACACCUCCACCUGGUUCCACCUCCAUCACUCUUCCUCCAUCACUCUCUACUCCUCCUCUCUCUGUGCUGUUGCCUGUUGGAUCAGUCUAUGUUGUGGUUCUACUGGUGUUACUGGUUCUGCGGGUGAGACGUUGUGUUCACAGGAAACUUGAAGAGACUGAUUCAGCUGUGGUCUACUCAGCAGUGAGAACUGAAGACAUCAGUCAUGGACAAAGAACCAUGAGAACAAGGAGGCCCAGGUACAGCUGCUCUUUAUCUGUGACUGUGGACAGAGACAAGCUAGCUGCUCGCCCUGUUUACAGCCAUCAUGCUAAGCUAAGCUAACCAAACUACAUCGUGACUCAAGCCCAGAGCUCAGACAUCAAACUUCUCAUCUUUCUGUCCAAAAACAAAACAAAAAAAAAGAUUCCUUGUAAAGUUGAGCUUUUCCUUAAACUGUCCGUUAUAGCGUGGUCUUCCUACUUAUCUUGACACAAUGCUUUAAGUCAACAGAUUGUAUUCAACUGAAUUCUGUCAUCUCACUUCUCCCAAUUCAGAUGCACUAUCCUAGCUAGUGAC